AGUGGCGGACGGGUGAGUAACACGUGAGAAUCUACCCUCAGGAGGGGGAUAACAAUUGGAAACGAUUGCUAAUGCCCCAUAUGCUGAAAGGUGAAAAGAUUUUUCGCCUGAGGAUGAGCUCGCGCCUGAUUAGCUAGUUGGUAAGAUAAAAGCUUACCAAGGCAACGAUCAGUAGCUGGUUUGAGAGGACGAUCAGCCACACUGGGACUGAGACACGGCCCAG
rnacentral:rRNA from 1 species